ACGGGAGGCAGCAGUGGGGAAUAUUGCGCAAUGGGCGGAAGCCUGACGCAGCGACGCCGCGUGGGGGAUGACGGCCUUCGGGUUGUAAACCUCUUUCGGCCCCGACGAAGCGUUUGUGACGGUAGGGGUAGAAGAAGCACCGGCCAACUACGUGCCAGCAGCCGCGGUAACACGUAGGGUGCGAGCGUUGUCCGGAAUUAUUGGGCGUAAAGAGCUCGUAGGCGGUGUGUCGCGUCGGCCGUGAAAACCUGUGGCUUAACUGUGGGCUUGCGGUCGAUACGGGCAUCACUGGAGUUCGGCAGGGGAGACUGGAAUUCCUGGUGUAGCGGUGAAAUGCGCAGAUAUCAGGAGGAACACCGGUGGCGAAGGCGGGUCUCUGGGCCGAUACUGACGCUGAGGAGCGAAAGCGUGGGGAGCGAACAGGAUUAGAUACCCUGGUA
rnacentral:rRNA from 1 species